UUUUUUUUGUUUUGCUUAACUUUCCCUUUCCUAUCUUCUAUCUUCCCUUCUCCUCUCCGCGAAUUUGGUUGCAACUAUGCAACAGACAACUCUGCAAGGCGUCCACGUUCCACUUUUUCAGCAGCACAAACGUCUCUUUUCUGCAUCCAGAGAGAAGGCCGUGUCCGGCAAAAACAAAGCUUCCGACACCGCGUCGUGUGCGCUUCCGGCAAGUGUCCGUGUCCGGUGCGCCUCCGACGCGGGGAAGCGUGGCUCCGACGCCGUGUCGGAGCUUCAUAGACUGAUCCAGGCUCUUGUAUCUGGAUGUUCCGCAGGAGUUCAUCGGAGGAUGUGCAAGAGAUGUGGCAACAUGAGGCGAUUGGCUUGCUCCACCUGCAAAGGAACCGAGUCUAUUAGAGAAGGGGGAUUACUUGGUAUGAAGCCUGUUAAGGAUUUAUUUGAAACACUUGAUAACACUGAAUCACAGGUGAAGCAGAUAGCAUGUGUAAAAUGUGAAGACAAAGUGCAUAUGAACUUGCUAAACAUAGAGAUGGUCGUUGGGAAUGGGCAAUUGCCCCAGGUGUCUCACCAUCAUCAAGAUAUCAGCAUGCAGCGUAACAGGGAAAAGUAUUCUGCAUACAAGUUACUCCAAAUAUAUAGGCACAUUUUUUGUUGGAUUCAAUUUUCUCCAGGUAGUUGUUGCUGUAGAGACUGGUGGUGCAUUAGAAUUUUGAUGAUGUCUUGAUUCCUGAAGACCAUGUAAGUAGGAGCUAUAAUGACACUUACUAUGUAGACCCUCAGACUGUUUUAAGAUGCCACACAAGUGCUCAUGAGGCAGAAUUAUUGAGAAGUGGUCACACUCAUUUCCUUGUUACAGGAGAUGUUUAUCGUAGGGAUUCAAUUAUUUGCAGCAACAGACUUAAAGAAAUGCCUUGAGGGUCUAGCAAGUCAUUUAUUUGGUAUUUUGAAAUGUUUUCCAAGGGUCAAUUGGGAGUCAAAUUUAAGCCAUUUUCAAAGUAUCCUCCUUGUUACAAGGACAUGAGUUUCUGGAUCAGUGAAUCAUUUACUAAACAAUCUAUGUGAAGUGGUCAGAGGGAUAGCAGGGGAUCUCGUAGAGGAGGUGCGGUGAGAAGCAAUAAAAAGGAAACAAAAGUGGAACAAAUAAUUAUGUUCUUCAGAUAAGACUUUCUUUUGAGGUGAAAUAACUUUUGAGGUAGCAUCUUUGCGGUGGAAACCUAAAGGAGACUUGAAACCUUAGCGAAAGAGACAAGAAAAGGAUGAGAGAAACACUUGGAAAGAAAAAGAUGCGCACUUUUUAUUUAUUUGAGUUGUAACUUUUACUUGUUUUACUUCUUGUAAUUUUGGCCUAAUUAGGUGUCUUGGGGGAGCCUUUGGUGUUCAAUCCCAUCUCCUAAUUAGACCCUUAAUUUCUUAUAGUGAAGUGCAUCUUAGUUGGUAAGUGCUUUGAAGGUUCUAAGUGCCUUCUAGUCUUUCCAUUAGGCCGCAUAGUUUAGCUUAUUUGCUUUCCUUUUUGCUUAAAGUUUAGGGCUUUCAAACGUAAUUUCUUUUGACAAGUUUGGUGCAAGAUGAUAAAGGGGAGUUUUUCAAUCUUUGAAUUUUUCUUAAUUUAAAAUUAAUUCAUCUUUCUCAAUUUCAAUUUUUACUAACUUUUUCAAAUUCACUUCCUCUUUAAACUCUUGACUAGACUUUUCAAAAUCACACUUUGAGUUGUUACCUUCUAGGUUACAAUUAGCUUAAAGUAGAAAAGGCAUUUUUGUGAAGUGCCUUAAUUAAAAUAACGUCUUCUUUUAUUCUUUCAUUUAGAUAUAUGUUGUUUGUGCUACACAAAUCUUUUGAAUUUUUGGUUGAUGAUUAUUGUAUAUAGAUUUUUGAUACCUGGGGAAUGAUAUGCAGGUUGAUCAAUGAUAAGAAAAAGGUCUUGUCAUAGAGAAACAUGAAGAUUUGAGGAUGAAUCUUUUUUUAAGUUUGUAGAAUUAGGGUUUUGCUUUUCCUUUUUGAGAUAUGUAGGGCUUCCUAGGUUACAAAUAGGGUGUUUUCCAUGUAAAUCACUUUUCAAUUUGAGUAUUGCUAUGCAGUUAAUUAUAUGUCAUAUUACUUAUCUUAGGUAAUUAAGGUUAGAUCACUUCUCUUUAAGUUUCUUUUAGCCACAAUUCCUUAAGAGUUUGUCCAAGCAUCUCCUUCCUUUAGUCAUAGAGUUUGGCAUUACAUCAAAACCACCAUAUGCCAAACAUAUUUUCAACAUCAUCAAACUUCUUCAAACCUCCAGCCUUUUUGGAGCCUAACCUUGUGUGAGUUCUAUAGAUUGAAAAAGUUUAUCCCAUCACUCUCACUAAGGGGUUGCUUUCUAGGUAUAACUAUUCAAGUAUCAAAUGAAACAACAAUGGUUUAUGAGCCUCAUUUUGUGUAUCAAAAAUUGCUUUGUACUUCGUAUGAAUUUGAUCGCAUAAAAUAUAUUGCUUUAUACAUUCUAAAAAUCCAAGUUAUAGGUGUGACGCUAAUUUUGAAAGCCCUAUAUAACUUGAGUUGGGUAUACUCCCUAGAUGAGACUGGUGAAUAACACUUUGAUUUUUUUGGUACACAAUGCAAGUUCCAAAAAGGUAUAUUUUUGGUUGUUCCAUCUGGAAUUCUUGAAUUGCACUUUGAUUUUCUUGGUUCACUGUGCAAAUUUCGUAUGGAUAUAUUUUUAGUUGUGCCACCAUAAAUAGAAUUGUCAAAGUGACUUUUGACUUUCUCUGUCCGCAAUAAAAUUUUGAUGUGCCCUUUGUUAUUCGAACUGUUGAUGAAUUACUUGCUUGUCUUUUGAUGGUUUAAUGUGCCAAAGUAGAAGGAUUUCGGAUUAUAAGUUGAGUUCACAUUUAUUUGUUUUGAAAAUGUGAGUUAAGUAUGGAUCAUGACUUUUAUUCUUCGUAAAUUUUUCAUGCACAUGUCAAAAUUGUCCCUUUAAAAUGUUUCCUGAAGCUCUUUGUAUCGAUAGUGGUUAACAAUUGCGCCUCCAAUUUUCAAAGUCCUUUAACUUGGGUUGAUAUUGUGCCUCCAAUUUUGAAAGCCCUAUAAAGUUACAUAUAUUCCUAAUGCAAAUUUCAAAUGGUUAUAUAUACGAGUUGUUACUUCUAAUUUCGUGCGAGAUGAAAGCUUAAUUCCGUUUGUGGCUAUUUUUUGAGUCCUAAUGAUGUCAGGAUAUUACUAUUCAAAUAUUGGCUCUGAAACUUGGGUGUGCAUCCACAUUGAGAUUGAUGGAACACAAUUUGAAUUACUUAUUCUUUAUAGUACGGAUAGAGGAUGGUUUGUGAGAGCAAUUGACAUAUUAGAAUUGGGCUAUAUAUUGAUUUUAUGAGUAUUAAAAAUUGCUUUGUACUUCGUAUGAAUUUGACCGCAUAAAAUAUAUUAUUUCAUUCAUUCUAAAAACCCAAGUUGUAGGUGUGACGAUAAUUUUGAAAGCUCUAUAAAACUUGAGUUGGGUAUACUUCCUAGACGGGACUGGUGAAUAGCACUUUGAUUUUUUUGGUACACAGUGCAAGUUCUAAAAGGGUAUAUUUUGGGUUGUCCCAUGUGGAAUUCUUGAAUUGCACUUUGAUUUUCUCGGUGCAAAUUCCGUAUGGGUAUAUUUUUAGUUGUGCCACCACAAAUAGAGUUGUCAAAGUGACUUUUGACUUUCUCUGUCCGAAAUAAAAAAUUUUGAUGUGCCCCUUGUUAUUUGAAUUGUUGAUGAAUUACUUGCUUGUCUUUUGAAGGUUUAAUGUGCCAAAGUAGAAGGAUUUCGGAUUAUAAGUUGAGUUCACAUUUAUUUGUUUUGAAAAUGUGAGUUGAGUAUGGAUCAUGACUUUUAUUCUUCGUAAAUUUUUCAUGCACAUGUCAAAAUUGUCCCUUUAAAAUGUUUCUUGAAGCUCUUUGUAUCGAUGGUGGUUAACAAUUGUGUCUCCAAUUCUGAAAAUCCUAUAAAUCGAGUUGAUAUAGUGCCUCCAAUUUUCAAAGUCCUUUAACUUGGGUUGAUAUUGUGCCGCCAAUUUUGAAAGUCCUAUAAAGUAACAUUUAUUCGUAACGCAAAAUUCAAAUGGUUAUAUAUAUGAGUUGUUGCUUAUAAUUUCGUGCGAGAUGAAAGCUUCAUUCUGUCUGUGGCUAUUUCUUAAGUCCUAAUGAUGUCGGGAUAUUACUAUUCAAAUAUUGACUCUGUAACUUGGGUGUGCAUCCACAUUGAGAUUGAUGGAACACAAUUUGAAUUACUUAUUCUUCAUAGCAAAGGUAAGGGAUGGUUUGUGAGAGCAAUUGACAUAUUAGAAUUCGGCUAUAUAUUGAUUUUAUGAAUAUCAAAAAUUGCUUUGUACUUUGUAUGAAUUUGAUCGCAUACAAUAUAUUGUUUUAUUCAUUCUAAAAAUCCAAGUUGUAGGUGUGACGCUAAUUUUGAAAGCCUUAUAUAACUUGAGUUGGGUAUACUCCUUAGAUGGGACUCGUGAAUAGCACUUUGAUUUUUUUGGUACACAUUGCAAAAUCCAAAAGGGUAUAUUUUCAGUUGUCCCAUGUGGAAUUCUUGAAUUGCACUUUGAUUUUCUUGGUUCACUGUGCAAAUUUCAUAUGGGUAUAUUUUUAGUUGUGCCACCAUAAAUAGAAUUGUCAAGAUGACUUUUGCCUUUCUCUGUCCGCAAUAAAAAAAUUUGAUUUUACCUUUGUUA